rnacentral:snRNA from 2 species
AUACUUACCUGGACGGGGUCAAUGGGUGAUCAAUAAGAUCCAUGGCCUAGGUUUGUGACCUCCAUUGCACUUUGGAGGGGUGCCUACCUAAGGUCGACCUAAAUGGUCGAGCCUACGUCAUAAUUUGUUGCAGUGGGGGCUUGCGUUCGCGCAGCCCCUAU